GCGGCAGCCGAGCAGGGUGGGAAAGAGGCGCGUGCGUGCGGGUCGCGCGCGCUCCCUCCCCCUCUCCACCACGGCUCAAAGGCGCAGAGAAAUGGACCGGAGGCGCCUCCCUCUACCACGCGUUCAUUUAAAGAGACAGUGGCAGAGCAUGCCUCACCUAGAGCUGGGAGGCGGGCACCAGCGAAAGUGACAGCAUCCAAUGAUGUUUCCAAACACUAUGCCAUGCAGACCACAAGCAAGGCCUACCACAUCAGGAGUAGUGACAUCUGUUUCCUUUUGAUUGCCACUUUUGCUGAGGACUCUUCUGCCUUUCCAGAGCACACAUGGCAGACCCAGCAUUGGGUCAGACCAAGCAUUGUGGAGACCAAGCAUUGUGGAGAGCUGCAUCUGUUAACCCUGUUGCUCUACAAAAUAAAGGGGGGUUGCAUCUUGGCCA